rnacentral:misc_RNA from 1 species
UACGAGUGCCCCGAGCGUUAUCCGGAAUCAUUGGGCGUAAAGGGUGUGUAGGCGGUCUUGUUAGUCCUCUGUUAAAUUCUUCGGCUCAACCGGGGUCAUGCAGGGGAAACGGCAAGACUUGAGGGUGUAAGGGGUGCGCGGAACUCUAGGUGUAGGGGUGAAAUCCGUUGAUAUCUAGGGGAACACCAAAAGCGAAGGCAGCGCACUGGUGCAUUUCUGACGCUGAAACACGAAAGCGUGGGGAUCGAACGGG